ACUUUUUGUGCUUUAUCCCUUGCAGAUGCGGCUUGUUCUGCCCAACCGUAGUCAUAACGUCCUGUGGGUCCAGGCGGAUUCUGCGAGGAGGCAUUGGUAGUACGGCAUCGUCGGGGUUUUUCGUCUCGACAACGGUUGCCCACAAAUGCCUUUGACCUUGGGCGACUCGGACCACUCCGAUUAGCACAGAACAAAAAAUGUUUGCUUAGUUUCGAGCUUCUGUUUUGUUUAAGAACUUCUACGGAUCAAAAACGUGUGGGCCUUGUGGAUCGUGCCCUCCCAUGUGCUGUGGAAGCUUCUGUGGUGGCUGUCGCUGAGUAAUAACGACAAUCGACAGGAUCUUAGCCUUCCAUCAACGCUCUGGUGACAACUGCAGAAAGCUAGAGCUCAAAGCUGACUCCAAAAAAUAGCUUUAGACUAGUUUUAUGAUAGUUUUACAAAUAAACCAUUUAAAAAUAAAACAAUUACGAAUAUAAA